UGAGCCGGGCAUUCGCCCGGUCGAAUCGUGGAAACUCGUGGACGCCGUCACGGCACGAAGCGAGCGAAACGCGAAACAGCGAAAGUCAGCCGUACAUAGGGCCCGUGAAAAGGCAAGCACGAUGUCCGUACCGAGAUCCGACACAGGUGCUCUGCCAGCGCAAGGCAAGGCCUGUCGGGAGAACCGACGUUAGGGAAUUCGGCAAGUUAGUCCCGUACCUUCGGAAGAAGGGAUGCCUGCUCUCUACAGAGCAGGUCGCAGUGACUCGGGCGCUCCGACUGUCUAGUAACAACACAGGUGACCGCAAAUCCGCAAGGACUCGUACGGUCACUGAAUCCUGCCCAGUGCGGGUAUCUGAACACCUCGUACAAGAGGACGAAGGACCCGUCAACGGCGGGGGUAACUAUGACCCUCUUAAGGUAGCGUAGUACCUUGCCGCUUCAGUAGCGGCUUGCAUGAAUGGAUAAACGAGAGCGCCACUGUCCCAACGUUGGACCCGGUGAACUGUACGUUCCAGUGCGGAGUCUGGAGACCCCCAAGGGGAAGCGAAGACCCUAUAGAGCUUUACUGCAGGCUGUCGCUGAGACGUGGUCGCCGAUGUGCAGCAUAGGUAGGAGACACUACACAGGUACGCGCGCUAGCGCGCCACCGAGUCAACAUUGAAAUACUACCCGUCGGUGACUGCGACUCUCACUCCGGGAGGAGUACACCGGUAGCCGGGCAGUUUGACUGGGGCGGUACGCGCUCGAAAAGAUAUCGAGCGCGCCCGAAGAUCAUCUCAGCCGGGUCGGGAAUCCGGCGAAGAGCGCAAGAGCAAAAGAUGGUCUGACAGUGUUCUUCCCAACGAGGAACGCUGACGCGAAAGCGUGGUCUAGCGAACCUACGAGGUUCCGGAAUGGGACCCGUAGAUGACAGAAAAGCUACCUUAGGGAUAACAGAGUCGUCAC
rnacentral:rRNA from 1 species